UUCACCCACAGCCGAAAAAUGAGAAAUCCCUCCGCCUGUGGUUAAAAGCUUUAAAUUUGAAGAAACCACCGAAGAGACCUUAUGUUUGAUCUUUUCAUUUUGUGGACAAACGACCGACAGAAGACUACACGAUGUCAGAAAAGUGGCUGGGCUACGAAGUUACAUUUAAAACCCCAGGAAGACAAAGAGGAGAGCAGACACAGAUGAAAGCCGCCGUGAUGCAGAGGCUGACCAGACCGCUCCAUAUUCAGAGUCACCUAUGAAUAAAGAUGCUGACAUUACAGUCGUCCAUCACCGGGAACGUUUCCCACUGACAGACAGACCCAGUAGAAGGAAGCUGAUGUCUGCAGGAUUCUCUGCCGGUAGUUGCUCCACCAGGGGUGUACGCAGGCUUCGGUUCUCAACGUGGAGGUCGUGGGUUUGAGUCCCGGCCCGUGGACCUUUGCUGCAGUCUUCCUCUCUCAAUCCCAUUUCUGGUCAGCCUACUGCCAAAUAAGGGCCACUUCUGUCACAAAAUAAACCAUUUCUGCCAGAUUUUUAAGUUAACUGUAAUUCUUUUACACGCCAUGACUUCCCCCUUUCCAAAAUGGACGAUUAUCUUGACCCAAAUGUUUCAAUAUUUGAAAAAUUUAAGCAGCACAGCUGGACAGAAAAUUCAAAUGUAAACUCAAACUUGCAAAGAUUUCUAGGUAAGUGCCAAAAGAUGCUUUCUGUGACUGUAAACUUGUUGACUGAACCAUUACUGAUGACAGUGUUACUCUUAUUUUUCUGUAAGACAAAUCCCUCAUUACACCUAAACAUUUGCAUCACUUAACAUUAUUAAUUUAGGGGGUUUAAACUUCUGAGCUCCCAUUAAAAU